GCUUCCGUAGCUCAGCUCAUAGAGCGUGCGCGUACAAAGCGUAGGCGGCGUCCAUGCGUGGGUUCGAAUCCCACCGAGGCU
rnacentral:tRNA from 1 species